rnacentral:tRNA from 1 species
UGUAUCUAGGUGUAUGUUGCACGUAAAUUUUUGAUUUUUAAGGAUAAGUUUAAUUCUUAAAGUUACAA